AUUGAACGCUGGCGGCAGGCCUAACACAUGCAAGUCGAACGGUAGCACAGAGAGCUUGCUCUUGGGUGACGAGUGGCGGACGGGUGAGUAAUGUCUGGGAAACUGCCCGAUGGAGGGGGAUAACUACUGGAAACGGUAGCUAAUACCGCAUAACGUCGCAAGACCAAAGUGGGGGACCUUCGGGCCUCACACCAUCGGAUGUGCCCAGAUGGGAUUAGCUAGUAGGUGGGGUAAUGGCUCACCUAGGCGACGAUCCCUAGCUGGUCUGAGAGGAUGACCAGCCACACUGGAACUGAGACACGGUCCAGACUCCUACGGGAGGCAGCAGUGGGGAAUAUUGCACAAUGGGCGCAAGCCUGAUGCAGCCAUGCCGCGUGUAUGAAGAAGGCCUUCGGGUUGUAAAGUACUUUCAGCGAGGAGGAAGGCGGUGAGGUUAAUAACCUCAUCGAUUGACGUUACUCGCAGAAGAAGCACCGGCUAACUCCGUGCCAGCCGCCGCCGUAA
rnacentral:rRNA from 1 species